UGCAAAUAAGUCCAUAACUAAAACCGUAUAUGCUACAAUUAGGUAUUUGCGGUAUUCAACUGGACUACAUUAAGCUUUGGUUAACUAUUCCUCUUAAGGAUAUCGGCUAAAAGAUAACUCCUUAAUAAAGUAAUACCAACAAAAGUCUAAU